GAUGAACGCUGGCGGCGUGCCUAAUACAUGCAAGUCGAGCGCGACUGAUUACACCGUUCUUCGGAACACCGUAAUCAUCGAGCGGCGGACGGGUGAGUAACACGUGGGCAACCUACCCUUAAGACUGGGAUAACCGCGGGAAACCGUGGCUAAUACCGGAUAAUACUUUUAUACAACGGUAUAGAAGUUGAAAGGUGGAUUUCUAUCACUUAAGGAUGGGCCUGCGGCGCAUUAGCUGGUUGGUAAGGUAACGGCUUACCAAGGCGACGAUGCGUAGCCGACCUGAGAGGCGGGUCGGCCACACUGGAACGGGGACGCGGUCCAGACGCCUACGGGAGGCAGCAGUAGGGAAUCUUCCGCAAUGGGCGAAAGCAUGACGGAGCAACGCCGCGUGUGCGAAGAAGGUCUUCGGAUCGUAAAGCACUGUUGUUAAGGAAGAACGACAGUAAGAGUAACUGUUGACUGUGUGACGGUACUUAACCAGAAAGCCACGGCUAACUACGUG
rnacentral:rRNA from 1 species